CCGCAUAAGUGCACAGAGCUGCAUGGCUCGGUGUGAAAAACUCCGGUGGUAUGGGAUGGGCCCGCGUCUGAUUAGGCAGUUGGCGGGGUAACGGCCCACCAAACCGACGAUCAGUAGCCGGCCUGAGAGGGCGACCGGCCACAUUGGGACUGAGACACGGCCCAAACUCCUACGGGAGGCAGCAGUGGGGAAUAUUGCACAAUGGGGGAAACCCUGAUGCAGCGACGCCGCGUGAGCGAAGAAGUAUUUCGGUAUGUAAAGCUCUAUCAGCAGGGAAGAUAAUGACGGUACCUGACUAAGAAGCCCCGGCUAACUACGUGCCAGCAGCCGCGGUAAUACGUAGGGGGCAAGCGUUAUCCGGAUUUACUGGGUGUAAAGGGAGCGUAGACGGCAAGGCAAGUCUGAUGUGAAAACCCAGGGCUUAACCCUGGGACUGCAUUGGAAACUGUCUGGCUCGAGUGCCGGAGAGGUAAGCGGAAUUCCUAGUGUAGCGGUGAAAUGCGUAGAUAUUAGGAAGAACACCAGUGGCGAAGGCGGCUUACUGGACGGUAACUGACGUUGAGGCUCGAAAGCGUGGGGAGCAAACAGGAUUAGAUACCCUGGUAGUCCACGCCGU
rnacentral:rRNA from 1 species